CUUAUUAUUUAGAAUAAAACGGUUGACGUGAGGGCCUGGCCUGGAGUCAAUGGUAAAAGUCUACAGACAGCAAUCGUAUCCAAAAAAAUUGUACUUUUUUUGCAAAUGACCUUCUUUGAAGUUCUUUCACUGCCCUAUUUUUACCAGUUUCACUCCGACAGUAAGAACCAUUUUGGUUAAUUUGUUCACUGGGGGAUCUACUCUACAUUCAAUACAUCUAUCAGCAUCCCUCUUG
rnacentral:lncRNA from 1 species